rnacentral:sRNA from 1 species
UGAACUCAGAACAUGACUAAAUAUUGUGA